UGGGGAAUCUUCCGCAAUGGACGAAAGUCUGACGGAGCAACGCCGCGUGAGUGAAGACGGCCUUCGGGUUGUAAAGCUCUGUGAUCCGGGACGAAAGAGCCUGAGGUGAAUAGCCUUAGGAAGUGACGGUACCGGAAAAGCAAGCCACGGCUAACUACGUGCCAGCAGCCGCGGUAAUACGUAGGUGGCAAGCGUUGUCCGGAAUUAUUGGGCGUAAAGCGCGCGCAGGCGGCUUUCUAAGUCCAUCUUAAAAGUGCGGGGCUUAACCCCGUGAUGGGAUGGAAACUGGGAAGCUGGAGUAUCGGAGAGGAAAGUGGAAUUCCUAGUGUAGCGGUGAAAUGCGUAGAGAUUAGGAAGAACACCGGUGGCGAAGGCGACUUUCUGGACGAAAACUGACGCUGAGGCGCGAAAGCGUGGGGAGCAAACAGG
rnacentral:rRNA from 1 species